AACUAAUAAUAUUUUUUAAAUUAUUUACUGGAAAACGACCAGGACGUGGAGGACAAUACGCACCCAAAACUGUUAUUGGGCUAUUACGAUUUACUUUUACACUAAUGGCUAAUGUUUGGAGUCUAUCAAUACUUGCUGUAACAAUUUCUGAUGUUAUAAGAGAGUUUUUACAAAUAAUGGCAACACCACCGUAACCAGUGUCACUGUCAUUUCUAAAUAUUUUAUAACCUCUAAAUUUUACUGAAUCUGAUGAUUUUAACCAAGUUUCAUUGAGAAUUAAAAUAUCAAUAUUAAGUGUAAUUAAAAGCUCACUUACGAAGGGAGUCUUAGGCUUAAGACUCUGAAUAUUGUGUUGAACAAUAACUAAAGACUUAUUAUCCAUUUUGAGAAACUUUCUUUAAAAACAUUUCUUUGAUAUUAGAUGAAUUAAUUGGCAAGCUGUUUUCUUUGUCACAAAAAUUACAGGUACGAUGCUUAGACCAUAGUUAACAUGCUCGGGGAGUACAUUACCUGCAAAGGUCAGAGAUACCGUUUGCAAUGGGAUGAUACCUUCAGGAGUGCGCUUCGUGAACCUUCUGACUGCCAGGAUCUCCUGUGAACUGAGAAGUUUGUCAAAUAGAUGUUUGCAGCUAAGAUCUGUGGGAAUGUAUCGUAUAACUCCUAUGCAUUCUGAUGUUGCCGCAGGGAUGAAGGCUUUGAUGUCAUGAGAAGACAAGAAUGUUGAGUUAAACAGUAACGCAUUAGCAUUCUUUGCAUUGUCAAAAAUUACAGCAUACCGCAUUGCA